CAAGAUGGCAGCCCCCAUACCUCAAGGGUUCUCGUUUAUCGAGGGUUUUGGGCUGGUGGUCUCGGCAGCCAGUUCUGGUGACUCAGUCCACAGCUAUAGUUCCAGUAAGAACUAAAAAACGUUUCACACCUCCUAUUUAUCAACCUAAAUUUAAAACAGAAAAGGAGUUUAUGCAACAUGCCCGGAAAGCAGGAUUGGUUAUUCCUCCAGAAAAAUCGGACCGUUCCAUACAUCUGGCCUGUACAGCUGGUAUAUUUGAUGCCUAUGUUCCUCCUGAGGGUGAUGCACGCAUAUCAUCUCUUUCAAAGGAGGGACUGAUAGAACUGAACGAAUGAAGAAGACUAUGGCAUCACAAGUGUCAAUCCGGAGGAUAAAAGACUAUGAUGCCAACUUUAAAAUAAAGGACUUCCCUGAAAAAGCUAAGGAUAUCUUUAUUGAAGCUCACCUUUGUCUAAACAAGUCCAUAUAAAGAGCUAUACGCUUGGGAGUACAGUGGCUCACACCUGCCAUCUCAGCAUUUUCAGAGGCCAAGUGGGGAAUUGCUUGAUACCAGGAGUUCAAGACCAGCCUGAGCAACACAGGGAGACCACAUCUCUACAAAAGAUUAUUUUUAAAAAUUAGCUGGGCUGAGUGGCAUGUGCCUGUGAUCCCAGCUACUUGGGAAGCUGAGGUGGAAGGAUUAUUUGAGCCCAGGAGGUCUAGGCUGCAGUGUGCAAUGAUUCAGCCAUUGCACUCCAGCCUAGAUGACAGAGCAAGACCCAGUCUCAAAAAAAAGAUUAUGAAUGGCUAGUAAGCAUGUGAAAAUAUGCUUGACAUCAUUACUCAUUAAGGAAAUGCAAAACUAAAACCACAGUGAAAUACCAUUUCACACCUAUUAUAAUAGUUAUAAUAAAAAAAAUCAAGUGUUGAGAAGAUGUGAAGAAACUAGAAUCCUCAUACAUUGUUGGU
rnacentral:lncRNA from 1 species